rnacentral:rRNA from 1 species
GACGAACGCUGGCGGCGUGCCUAAUACAUGCAAGUAGAACGCACAGUUUAUACCGUAGCUUGCUACACCAUAGACUGUGAGUUGCGAACGGGUGAGUAACGCGUAGGUAACCUGCCUGGUAGCGGGGGAUAACUAUUGGAAACGAUAGCUAAUACCGCAUAAUAUUAAUUAUUGCAUGAUAAUUAAUUGAAAGGUGCAAUUGCACCACUACCAGAUGGACCUGCGUUGUAUUAGCUAGUAGGUGAGGUAACGGCUCACCUAGGCGACGAUACAUAGCCGACCUGAGAGGGGGAUCGGCCACACUGGGACUGAGACACGGCCCAGACGCCUACGGGAGGCAGCAGUAGGGAAUCUUCGGCAAUGGACGAAAGUCUGGCCGAGCAACGCCGCGUGAGUGAAGAAGGUUUUCGGAUCGUAAAGCUCUGUUGUAAGAGAAGAACGGGUGUGAGAGUGGAAAGUUCACACUGUGACGGUAUCUUACCAGAAAGGGACGGCUAACUACGUG